AUGCUACACUCGUGCUGUUUAUUUGGGUAUCUAAGAAGUGCUCCACUACAUAGAAGGAACUGGAAAUUCAUGUUGAACUGUCUGACACAUUCUUUUAGCACUGGUUCAGCUUUUUUUCCCAGUUCCUGUAUGAAGACAACUCUACUUGGAAUAUGGAAGAAUGGAAGGAGCUGGGGCGGAAAUAGAGAAAUUGGACUGGUGUAGAUAUACCCACACCAAUAAUGCAUCAGGAAGGGAUUUUAGGGAUGUCAAGGUUUUUUUCAUAGAACAACAUUUUUUCCCUUAAAAGAUGGAUCUACCAUCAUUUCUCAGCAUUGACUCUAUACAGGUAUUUAUUCUGGGAAACUCAGUGGGAUAGUAAAUCAGAAAGAAUUUUUUUAUC
rnacentral:lncRNA from 1 species